rnacentral:rRNA from 1 species
GAUGAACGCUGGCGGCGUGCCUAAUACAUGCAAGUCGAGCGAAGCGGGGACGGGUGAGUAACACGUGGAUAACCUCCUAUAAGACUGGGAUCACUUCGGGAAACCGGAGCUAAAACGGCUACUUAUCGCUGGAUCCGCGGGGCAUUAGCUAGUUGGUAAGGUAACGGCUUACCAAGUCAACGAUGCAUAGCCGACCUGAGAGGUUGAUCGGCCACACUGGAACUGAGACACGGCCCAGACUCCUACGGGAGGCAGCAGUAGGGAAUCUUCCGCAAUGGGCGAAAGCCUGACGGAGCAACGCCGCGUGAGUGAUGAAGGUCUUCGGAUCGUAAAACUCUGUUAUUAGGGAAGCGGUACCUAAUCAGAAAGCCACGGCUAACUACGUGCCAGCCGCCGCGGUAAUAC